AUGGAAUCAGUGGCCCAGGAGACUGACUAGUCACAUGGGAAUCAAUCAACAAAUAAUGGCUAUGUAAUGCAGCCUCAAAAAUUACUUGUAAAACCAGGGCUCGGCUGGGCGCGGUGGCUCAUGCCUGUAAUCCCAGCACUUCGGGAGGCCAAGGCGGGCAGAUCACGAGGUCAGGAGAUCCAGACCAUCCUGGCUAACAUGGUGAAACCCCGUCUCUACUAAAAAUACAAAAAAAUUAGCCGGACAUGGUGGCAGGCGCCUGUAGUCCCAGCUACUCGGGAGGCUGAGGCAGGAGAAUGGCGAGAACCCAAGAGGCAGAGCUUGCAGUGAGCUGAGAUCGCGCCACUGCACUCCAGCCUGGGUGACAGAACGAGACUCCCUCUCAAAAAAAAAAAACAGGGCUCAGGAGAAGGAGAAACCUGGCGUCAGUGACGUGCAUGCAGACUUUGGAAAGGCAAAUGGGCUGCAGAAAUGAAUAUGCUUCCUACGAAAAGCUCCAGGAUAAGUCACAUGGAAGGCAUAUAGCUCAGUAUGGUAAUAAAAAGAAUGCUUAGAAGUUUCCAUGGGAUGUGCGUCCACUGUAAACACACAAUGCAAUCAAAUAACGGAAUCUAAGAAUGUCAUAAUUAAAUGCAUGGCCAUUGGAAGACAAAAAACAUGUUCUGCAAUAUCUCUCUUUCACCAUAGUUUGUGUUUCACUUAUUAGCUCUCUCCAUAAUUCCAGGAGACAGUGAAGUCACCCCAUUCAUUAGUUUAUAUAUCAGGUUAACAAAAAUUUGGAAACCUGCCAUGUACCAGGACUAUUCUAGGCACUGAAAAUACAGCCAUGAAGAGUUAAAAUUCCUUAGACAUUACGGUCCAGCAUGUAGAAGUGACAGAUAAACAGAAGUAUGUAAGACUUGGUACAAGAGAGCACAAGAAGAAUCAAAAUAGAGCGGAAUUAUAAAGAGAGUGGUUUGGGAUGGCUUCUCUCAUGACUUUAAAACUGAAAAGAAACUUGAAUAACUGAAGGAGAUGCCAGGAGGUUUUGAGGUGACAGAGUAUCCCAAUGACUGAGAUGAGCAAGCAAGGGCUGAGACAGAAGCUUCUGUAGAGACAGAAUAAUGGUUCCUAAAAGAUGUCCACAUCCAGUCCCCAGGACCUAUGAUCAUGUUGUUAUACAGCAGGGGAACAGAGGUUGUAGAUGCAAUUAAGGUUGCUAGUCAGUUAACCAGAGAACAGAAAGAUCAUCCUGGAUUAUCCAGGAGUGAUCAAAGCAAUUACAAGGGCCCCAUAACGUGAAAGAGGAAGGCAUAAGAAGAGUGGCAGAGGGAGCGUGACUAUGGGGAUGCAAGUUGCUGCCUUCGAAGAUGGAGGAAGGGAAGCAAGAGCCAAGGAGUGUGGACAGUGCCUAGACACUGAUAAGCCAAAGUAAAGGCUUCUCACCAAGAGCAUCCAGAAAACAUGAAGCCCUACAGACAACUUGGUAAUUGCCCAGUGAGAUGUAUCAGACUUCAUCCCUAAAGACCACAAAAAUAAUAAAUGUUUGUCACUCAGUCUGCUCAGUCUGUGGUCACUGGGUACCAGCAAAAGGCAACACUGUGUCCUUGGGAGGACAGAGAAACAGCAGGGAGAAUGAAGUGGCUGGUAAAGACAGAGCAAGAAGGAGAGGACAGGAGAUGUAAUUAGAGAGGUGGCAGGGAGGGGAUGAAGAGCAGAUCACAGGGUCUCUAAAAGUCAAUUAAAGAGGUUGUAACUUUAAUAAAAAUAAGCCAAACAGGCUUUUGAGCUGAG